UGGAUUGAUGAUGACCACUGGUGGUGUAUAAGUCAUGGAUUGUGACUAUAGGUCUGGAAGUCUGAGGUCCAU
rnacentral:snoRNA from 1 species